CACAAUGGAAGGCUUUCACCAAACCUGAAGAAGCCUGCAGCUUCAUUUUGAGUGCAGACUUCCCUGCUUUGGUUGUGAAGGCCAGUGGUCUUGCAGCUGGAAAAGGGGUGAUUGUUGCAAAGAGCAAAGAAGAGGCCUGCAAAGCUGUACAAGAGAUCAUGCAGGAGAAAGCCUUUGGGGCAGCUGGAGAAACAAUUGUCAUUGAAGAACUUCUUGACGGAGAAGAGGUGUCGUGUCUGUGUUUCACUGAUGGCAAGACUGUGGCCCCCAUGCCCCCAGCACAGGACCAUAAGCGAUUACUGGAGGGAGAUGGUGGCCCUAACACAGGGGGAAUGGGAGCCUAUUGUCCAGCCCCUCAGAUUAAAAAUAGGCCAGGCGCAGUGGCUCAUGCCUGUAAUCCCAGCACUUUGGGAGGCCGAGGCAGGUGGAUAACCUGAGGUCGGGAGUUUGAGACCAGCCUGGCCAACAUGGAGAAACCCCGUCUCUACUGAAAAUACAAAAAUUAGCUGGGCGCGAUGGCACAUGCCUGUAGUCCCAGUCCCAGCUACUUGGGAAGCUAAGGUUUCUAAUGAUCUAUUACUAAAAAUUAAAGAUACUGUUCUUCAGAGGACAGUGGAUGGCAUGCAGCAAGAGGGUACUCCAUAUACAGGUAUUCUCUAUGCUGGAAUAAUGCUGACCAAGAAUGGCCCAAAAGUUCUAGAGUUUAAUUGCCGUUUUGGUGAUCCAGAGUGCCAAGUAAUCCUCCCACUUCUUAAAAGUGAUCUUUAUGAAGUGAUUCAGUCCACCUUAGAUGGACUGCUCUGCA
rnacentral:lncRNA from 10 species